rnacentral:rRNA from 1 species
UGUGUCCUGCGGCGUCGGUCUACCGAUUGCGGUACGACAGGCGCGUCUGCGGGGCUUCUCGCCGGUGCGUGUUCACCGCCGGCGCGUCGCCGUCUUCUCCUUUGUUGGGGUCGGCGGACGGCGUCGAGGCGGGCCCUCGCGGCUGUUUACUUUGAACAAAUUAGAGUGCUCAAAGCGGGCUAUUAUUUGCCUGAAUAUUGUGCGCAUGGAAUAAUAGAAUAGGACCUCGGUUCUGUUUUGUUGGCUUUCUGAUACCAGAGGUAAUGAUUAAUAGGGACAACUGGGGGCAUUCGUAUUGCGACGUUAGAGGUGAAAUUCUUGGAUCGUCGCAAGACGGACUAAAGCGAAAGCAUUUGCCAAAGGUGUUUUCAUUAAUCAAGAACGAAAGUUAGAGGUUCGAAGGCGAUUAGAUACCGCUGUAGUUCUAACCAUAAAUGAUGCCAGCCAGCGAUCCGCCGAAGUUUUUUUAUUUGAUUCGGUGGGCAGCUCCCGGGAAACCAAAGCUUUC